CUACCUACGGGGCGCAGCAGUGAGGAAUAUUGGUCAAUGGGCGGAAGCCUGAACCAGCCAAGUCGCGUGAGGGAAUAAGGCCCUACGGGUCGUAAACCUCUUUUGCCGGGGAGCAAGGGCGGGGACGUGUCCCGGCCCGGAGAGUACCCGGAGAAAAAGCAUCGGCUAACUCCGUGCCAGCAGCCGCGGUAAUACGGAGGAUGCGAGCGUUAUCCGGAUUUACUGGGUGUAAAGGGAGCGUAGGCGGCGAUGCAAGUCAGAAGUGAAAGCCCGGGGCUCAACUCCGGGACUGCUUUUGAAACUGU
rnacentral:rRNA from 1 species